ensembl:rRNA 5S_rRNA 5S ribosomal RNA
GCUUACGGCCAUACCACCCUGAGAACGCCCGAUCUCGUCUGAUCUCGGAAGCUAAGCAGGGUCGGGCCUGAUUAGUACUCGGAUGGGAGACCGCCUGGGAAUACCAGGUGCUGUAAGCU